rnacentral:rRNA from 1 species
AUUGCAGGCGGGCUGGACCUCUCGGGGUUACAGCCUUGCUGAAUUAUUCACCCUUGUCUUUUGCGUACUUCUUGUUUCCUUGGUGGGUUCGCCCACCACUAGGACAAACAUAAACCUUUUGUAAUUGCAAUCAGCGUCAGUAACAAAUUAAUAAUUACAACUUUCAACAACGGAUCUCUUGGUUCUGGCAUCGAUGAAGAACGCAGCGAAAUGCGAUAAGUAGUGUGAAUUGCAGAAUUCAGUGAAUCAUCGAAUCUUUGAACGCACAUUGCGCCCUUUGGUAUUCCAAAGGGCAUGCCUGUUCGAGCGUCAUUUGUACCCUCAAGCUUUGCUUGGUGUUGGGCGUCUUGUCUCUAGCUUUGCUGGAGACUCGCCUUAAAGUAAUUGGCAGCCGGCCUACUGGUUUCGGAGCGCAGCACAAGUCGCACUCUCUAUCAGCAAAGGUCUAGCAUCCAUUAAGCCUUUUUUUCAACUUUUGACCUCGGAUCAGGUAGGGAUACCCGCUGAACUUAAGCAUAUCAAAACCCGGGAGGAAA